rnacentral:rRNA from 1 species
CUUGGUCAUUUAGAGGAAGUAAAAGUCGUAACAAGGUUUCCGUAGGUGAACCUGCGGAAGGAUCAUUACAAAUCUUUGGGGACUGGUCGCCGUGAAUAACGGUGUGCUGGUUUCACAUUAGCACAAGGUCGCAAGGCCUUGAUGUUUACGCUUGUUUGUUUGACAGAGUUAGUUGAGAAUAAUAAAGACAACUUUUAACAAUGGAUCACCUGGCUCUUGUAUCGAUGAAGAACGCAGCAAAGCGCGAAAUGUAGUGAACAUAGCAGCACAAUUGUGAAUCAUCGAAUCUUUGAACGCACAUUGCGCCUCCGGUAGCUCGGAGGCAUGCCUGUCUGAGCGUCAUUUAAAACCAUGGACCCAGGAUUGGGUCCGUAUUGGGCGUCGCCCCCCCCUCCAGAGUGGCGCGUGGCCUCAAAGACAUUGGUCUCACAUGCGGACGAGCUCCCCUGGGACAGACCGCGUGGAGACCCUAAGCAUCUGACUUUGAUCUCAGAUCAGGUAGGACUACCGCCUGAACUUAAGCAUAUCAAUAAGCGGAGGA